rnacentral:rRNA from 1 species
UCGAGGGGUAUUAGGAGCUUGCUCCUAAGAGACCGGCGCACGGGUGCGUAACGCGUAUGCAAUCUACCUUAUACAGGGGAAUAGCCCAGAGAAAUUUGGAUUAAUGCCCCAUGGUAUUAUAGAGUGGCAUCACUUUAUAAUUAAAGUUCCAACGGUAUAAGAUGAGCAUGCGUCCCAUUAGUUAGUUGGUAAGGUAACGGCUUACCAAGACAAUGAUGGGUAGGGGUCCUGAGAGGGAGAUCCCCCACACUGGUACUGAGACACGGACCAGACUCCUACGGGAGGCAGCAGUGAGGAAUAUUGGACAAUGGGCGCAAGCCUGAUCCAGCCAUGCCGCGUGCAGGAAGACGGUCCUAUGGAUUGUAAACUGCUUUUAUACAGGAAGAAACAACUCUACGUGUAGAGUCUUGACGGUACUGUAGGAAUAAGGAUCGGCUAACUCCGUGCCAGCAGCCGCGGUAAUACGGAGGAUCCAAGCGUUAUCCGGAAUCAUUGGGUUUAAAGGGUCCGUAGGCGGUCUUAUAAGUCAGUGGUGAAAUCUCCUAGCUCAACUAGGAAACUGCCAUUGAUACUGUAAGACUUGAAUUUUUGUGAAGUAACUAGAAUAUGUAGUGUAGCGGUGAAAUGCUUAGAUAUUACAUGGAAUACCAAUUGCGAAGGCAGGUUACUAACAAACGAUUGACGCUGAUGGACGAAAGCGUGGGGAGCGAACAGGAUUAGAUACCCUGGUAGUCCACGCCGUAAACGAUGGAUACUAACUGUUCGGAGCAAUCUGAGUGGCUAAGCCGAAGUGAUAAGUAUCCCACCUGGGGAGGUCGCACGCAA